rnacentral:lncRNA from 1 species
GCGAGUUUGUAGAAUUCGAAAGUGUAUUGAGAUUUGAGAAAGACCCUUGGGAAUUGGGAUAAUUAUGUAGAACCUUGUCCAACUAUGGUUGAGUACUAGACGCAGCACAGGAGAACAGACUUCACUUUGGGAAACAUUUCUUUGGACAUAAAAAGGUAUUAAGUGAUAUCAACUACAAUUUUGAAACGCCAGAAACGGUGGCCAGAUUAUUUACGUUUUGCCCCUCGGAUUGUGACACACACAGUGACUCGUACAACACGU